GAAGAAUGUCCCUCUGAUAAAAUUGGAACAAUACAUAGAAAAUUAAUAUGGCUCCUGUGCAAGGAUGACACGCACAAAUCGAAAAAUAGUCUAAAUUUUU